UUGCACGCUGGCGGCAGGCCUAACACAUGCAAGUCGAACGGUAACAGGAAGCAGCUUGCUGCUUUGCUGACGAGUGGCGGACGGGUGAGUAAUGUCUGGGAAACUGCCUGAUGGAGGGGGAUAACUACUGGAAACGGUAGCUAAUACCGCAUAACGUCGCAAGACCAAAGAGGGGGACCUUAGGGCCUCUUGCCAUCGGAUGUGCCCAGAUGGGAUUAGCUAGUAGGUGGGGUAACGGCUCACCUAGGCGACGAUCCCUAGCUGGUCUGAGAGGAUGACCAGCCACACUGGAACUGAGACACGGUCCAGACUCCUACGGGAGGCAGCAGUGGGGAAUAUUGCACAAUGGGCGCAAGCCUGAUGCAGCCAUGCCGCGUGUAUGAAGAAGGCCUUCGGGUUGUAAAGUACUUUCAGCGGGGAGGAAGGGAGUAAAGUUAAUACCUUUGCUCAUUGACGUUACCCGCAGAAGAAGCACCGGCUAACUCCGUG
rnacentral:rRNA from 1 species